rnacentral:rRNA from 1 species
GGCUAACUACGUGCCAGCAGCCGCGGUAAUACGUAGGGGGCAAGCGUUAUCCGGAAUUAUUGGGCGUAAAGAGUGCGUAGGUGGUUACCUAAGCGCAAGGUUUAAUUUAGAGGCUCAACCUCUACUUGCCUUGCGAACUGGGCUACUUGAGUGCAGGAGGGGAAAGCGGAAUUCCUAGUGUAGCGGUGAAAUGCGUAGAUAUUAGGAGGAACACCAGCGGCGAAGGCGGCUUUCUGGACUGUAACUGACACUGAGGCACGAAAGCGUGGGUAGCAAACAGGAUUAGAUACCCUGGUAGUCCACGCCGUAAACGAUGAGCACUAGGUGUCGGGGUCGCAAGACUUCGGUGCCGCAGUUAACGCAUUAAGUGCUCCGCCUGGGGAGUACGCACGCAAGUGUAAAACUCAAAGGAAUUGACGGGGACCCGCACAAGCAGCGGAGCAUGUGGUUUAAUUCGAAGCAACGCGAAGAACCUUACCAGGACUUGACAUCCUCUUGACAGAUCCUUAAUCGGAUUCUUCUUCGGACAAGAGAGACAGGUGGUGCAUGGUUGUCGUCAGCUCGUGUCGUGAGAUGUUGGGUUAAGUCCCGCAACGAGCGCAACCCUUGUCGCUAGUUACUAACAUUCAGUUGAGGACUCUAGCGAGACUGCCGAGGUCAACUCGGAGGAAGGUGGGGAUGACGUCAAAUCAUCAUGCCCCUUAUGUUCUGGGCUACACACGUGCUACAAUGGUCGGUACAAUGAGAGGCAAUACUGUGAAGUGGAGCAAAUCACCAAAACCGAUCCCAGUUCGGAUUGUAGGCUGCAACUCGCCUACAUGAAGUUGGAGUUGCUAGUAAUCGCAGAUCAGAAUGCUGCGGUGAAUGCGUUCCCGGGUCUUGUACACACCGCCCGUCACACCAUGGAAGUUGGGGGUGCCCGAAGUCGGUUAUUUAAUCUAUCGCCUAAGGCAAAACCAAUGACUGGGGUGAAGUCGUAACAAGGUAGCCGUAUCGGAAGGUGCGGCUGGAUCA